rnacentral:rRNA from 3 species
CCUGGUGUUUAUAGCGCAGUGGAACCACUCCGAAUCCAUCUCGAACUCGGUUGUGAAACGCUGCUACGGCGAAGAUAGUUGGAGGGUAGCUUCCUGCAAAAAUAGCUCAAUGCCAGGA